GACAGAGGUGCCAAGCGUUAGGCGGAAUCACUGGGCUUAAAGCGCGUGUAGGUGGCGGCCUAAGUACCUUGUGAAAUCCUGCGGCUCAACCGCAGAACUGCUUGGUAUACUGGGUCGGCUUGAGCCAUCCAGGGGCAACUGGAACAAGCGGUGGAGCGGUGAAAUGCGUAGAUAUCGCUUGGAACGGCCAAAGGUGAAAACAGGUUGCUGGGGAUGUGCUGACACUGAGACGCGAAAGCCAGGGAGCGAACGGG
rnacentral:rRNA from 1 species